CUAGGGACAGGCGUCUCGUGAUAACUACAAGCGCGGCAAGACUGCAACAGGACCUUUCCGCAAGAAGCGGAAGUCUGAGGACAUGACGGUGGGUUUGAAAUGACAUCAACUUUAAAUUCAACAGAUGCUCCCACAUACAAACCCAGAAAAUAUGAAGGGAGCUACAGUGUUUACAGAUUUGUCAGGCGUGGUAACACAUGCUGUGAUCCCAGCACUCAGGAGGCAGAGACAAGAAGAUUGCCUCAAGUUGGAGACCAGGC